rnacentral:tRNA from 3 species
AAGAUGCUAGUAAAAUGAAAUUACAUUGCCUUGUCAAGACAAUAUUGCAGGUUAAACCCCUGCGUAUCUUA